UACGUAGGGGGCAAGCGUUGUCCGGAUUUAUUGGGCGUAAAGAGCGUGUAGGCGGCUAUACAGGUCCGCUGUGAAAACUCGAGGCUCAACCUCGAGACGUCGGUGGAAACCGUAUGGCUAGAGUCCGGAAGAGGAGAGUGGAAUUCCUGGUGUAGCGGUGAAAUGCGCAGAUAUCAGGAAGAACACCCGUGGCGAAGGCGGCUCUCUGGGACGGUACUGACGCUGAGACGCGAAGCGUGGGGAGCGAACAGG
rnacentral:rRNA from 1 species